rnacentral:rRNA from 1 species
GUGUCAGCAGCCGCGGUAAUACAGAGGUCCCAAGCGUUGUUCGGAUUCACUGGGCGUAAAGGGUGCGUAGGUGGUCGGGUAAGUCUGAGGUGAAAUCUCCGAGCUCAACUCGGAAACUGCCUUGGAUACUAUUCGGCUCGAGGGUUGGAGGGGGGACUGGAAUUCUCGGUGUAGCAGUGAAAUGCGUAGAUAUCGAGAGGAACACCAGUGGCGAAGGCGAGUCCCUGGACAACUCCUGACGCUGAGGCACGAAAGCUAGGGGAGCAAACAGGAUUAGAUACCCUGGUAGUCC